AUUGAACGCUGGCGGCAGGCCUAACACAUGCAAGUCGAGCGGGUGAAGGGGGCUUGCUCCUGGAUUCAGCGGCGGACGGGUGAGUAAUGCCUAGGAAUCUGCCUGGUAGUGGGGGAUAACGUCCGGAAACGGGCGCUAAUACCGCAUACGUCCUGAGGGAGAAAGUGGGGGAUCUUCGGACCUCACGCUAUCAGAUGAGCCUAGGUCGGAUUAGCUAGUUGGUGGGGUAAAGGCCUACCAAGGCGACGAUCCGUAACUGGUCUGAGAGGAUGAUCAGUCACACUGGAACUGAGACACGGUCCAGACUCCUACGGGAGGCAGCAGUGGGGAAUAUUGGACAAUGGGCGAAAGCCUGAUCCAGCCAUGCCGCGUGUGUGAAGAAGGUCUUCGGAUUGUAAAGCACUUUUAGUUGGGAGGAAGGGCAGUAAGUUAAUACCUUGCUGUUUUGACGUUACCAACAGAAUAAGCACCGGCUAACUUCGUG
rnacentral:rRNA from 1 species